CUUCAUCUUCAUCAUCGUACGCGUCCAUGUUGAGUUCGCGGAGCUCAUCAGCGACGUCGUCCGCCUUGCUAGAGCCCUUGCAGAGCGCCUUGGCUACGGCCUUGGCUCGGGCAGCCUCAUCAACCUCCUCCACCGUUUCCGCCGCACCGUCGAGUUCCAUGGUGGCAGCAUCAUCAUCCUCGUCAGCGUCGCUCCCGGAGCUGGAUACAGGUUACAUGGCAAGAAAAAUGAAACCAAGUCACUGUCGCUAGAAUUAAUGAUGGAGAAAGACAGGUUACACACGGCAACGAAACAAAAUUCGUCACUAUUGCUGGAAGUAGAGCACGCGAUGCAAGGAUAGAAACAGAGGGCGGAGGGAGGCGGCUCUCACUCUCUGCCCAGGUCGAAGGUCUUCAUGGCCUCGGCGAUCUCCUCCUGAGUGGGCGGGUCGGCAACGACGGGCACGCUCUUGGCGGCGCCCCUGGGCACCCAGGAUAUCGCGGAGAUCAUCCCCUUGAUCGAGUCCUCCUCCAUCGGACGAUAUGAGCGAGUCCUCUCCCUCCUUCAGUGGUUUGUCGCGGAGGUGGCGCGUGGGAGGAGGCGGAGGUGGCGCGUGGGAGGAGGCGGAG
rnacentral:misc_RNA from 1 species